rnacentral:tRNA from 1 species
AAUAAAGUGUCUGAUUAAAGAGUUAUUUUGAUAGAAUAAAUUAUAUGAAAUUUUUUUUUUCAUCUUUAUUA